rnacentral:misc_RNA from 1 species
GCCAAAUGAACUUCAAGGGGUAGUCACCGAUGUUAAGGGAAAUAUUAGCAGUCUUCUCGCCCGAAAUCAGUUCGCCAUUUGUAUCAGUCGAACGAUUCGAGAUCAAUGAGAUCGAGGUCCUCGAUCCAGGUCGGUAAAUUAGUCCGGUUCUCUCACGGACAUCAAAUAUGGUUAUCAUGAGUUUUCGAUCACCGGGGUCGUAAAUUUUCAGUCGGGGAGCUAAGAGAAUAGUCAGAAAAAGAUCAAAAGCAGUCACCAUGGCCAGAAUGUUACUGGAGAAAUUAGAAUGGAAGAAGAGAGAAAUGGAAGGAGGAAUGAAUGAAAUGUGGGAGAAAUACCCCGAUUGAGGCAUAUAUAUAUAUAGGGGGCGUCUGAGCAUUUAUUACUAGCAGAAAUCAAAGCGGAUGCCUCGGUAACCGAAGGAAUAAAUGAUUUGAUUGAAGCCGCGAGGACAGAGAGGAAGAUUCUGGAAUGGGAGAGAUCAGGAGA